rnacentral:rRNA from 1 species
UACGAAGGGGGCUAGCGUUGCUCGGAAUUACUGGGCGUAAAGCGCACGUAGGCGGAUUGUUAAGUCGGGGGUGAAAUCCUGGAGCUCAACUCCAGAACUGCCUUCGAUACUGGCGAUCUCGAGUCCGGGAGAGGUGAGUGGAACUGCGAGUGUAGAGGUGAAAUUCGUAGAUAUUCGCAAGAACACCAGUGGCGAAGGCGGCUCACUGGCCCGGGUACUGACGCUGAGGUGCGAAAGCGUGGGGAGCAAACAGG